rnacentral:lncRNA from 1 species
UUAGAUGAAGUAUCUAAAAUGGUCAAAUUCGGCCAGCCUAACAAUGUAAAUUUGACGGAGGCAAGUGGAUCACUUGAGGUCAGGAGUUUGAGACCAGCCUGGCCAAUACGAUGAAACCCCAUCUCUACUGAAAAUGCAAAAAUUAGCCAGGCAUGGUGGCUGUAAUCCCAGCUACUCGAGAGACUGAGCAGGAGAAUCGC